AUAUACGGCCAUAAAGCAUCGGCUCUCGUCCGAUCACCGAAGUUAAGCAACGUCAAGCCUAGUGAGUACUUAGAUCGAUAACCGCUUGGGAAACCUUGGUGCUGUAAGCG
rnacentral:rRNA from 1 species